AUUGUACUCCCUCCAUCCAAAAAUACUUGUCAAAGAAAUGCAGAAAAAUGAAUGUAUCUAAAACUAAAAUACAUCUAGAUACAUGCAUUCCUCCACAAGUAUUUCUGGACAGAGGGAGUAGUUG
rfam:Triticum aestivum genome assembly, contig: Triticum_aestivum_CS42_TGACv1_scaffold_423456_5BS